AACGAACGCUGGCGGCAUGCCUAACACAUGCAAGUCGAACGAGACCUUCGGGUCUAGUGGCGCACGGGUGCGUAACGCGUGGGAACCUGCCCUUAGGUUCGGAAUAACUCCCCGAAAGGGGUGCUAAUACCGGAUAAUGUCUUCGGACCAAAGAUUUAUCGCCUUUGGAUGGGCCCGCGUUGGAUUAGCUAGUUGGUAGGGUAAAAGCCUACCAAGGCGACGAUCCAUAGCUGGUCUGAGAGGAUGAUCAGCCACACUGGGACUGAGACACGGCCCAGACUCCUACGGGCGGCAGCAGUGGGGAAUAUUGGACAAUGGGCGAAAGCCUGAUCCAGCAAUGCCGCGUGAGUGAUGAAGGCCUUAGGGUUGUAAAGCUCUUUUACCCGGGAUGAUAAUGACAGUACCGGGAGAAUAAGCUCCGGCUAACUCCGU
rnacentral:rRNA from 1 species